AGGCUGCGAGCAAAUUCCCUACUUCUGAAGGCGGUUAGUGACCAGGUCAGAAUGCUCAUUUUGGAAAUAACUCUUGCAUCCAACAGAAGGUAGGCUCCUGGCUAAAGCUAGCAAGUCAAAGCAUCCUACAGGUCCUUAAAAAUGUGGGCUUCUAUGAUGCAAGGAUAUGCCCAGAAGAAAAAAGAAAGCACAGAAAAACUAAAACAGCAAGCUGGUAUUCCAAUCUAGUAACAAAGAUGGCAAAUAUCCUUAUCGACAGGGCUCCAAAAACAGGGUAGGAGAACUAACUCUUGGCAUUUUGUGGACAUCAAAUGCUUUUUCCCCAUAGAGUUAGGUAAAUACCAAAGAUGGGUAGAAUCCGUUUAGAAUUCAGUUCACCCUCCAGGAAGACAAGCAAUGGUCCUUUAAAGCACUUGGUAUGCCAUCCUGGCCAAGUCAAGGUGGCUGCCCACUGGAGAAGUUCCCAUCAGAUGAGCAGCUGGGAGACCCUGUGUGAAAGAUGCUGAGAGAGGGAGUCAGGCCAAGGGGUCGGCAUGCUGUUUUCUGGGCAGUAGGGGCAGGAGGCCUGGAGGGAGCCAUCAAGUCUCACUGCCAUCUGUUUCCCCUGGGGAUAGCCCACUUCCCCUCACUUCCCCCAAGAGUGAACCAAAAGCAUUUUGUCUUCUUUUCAUUUUGCAAAAUUCCUCCCCUAAUACUUCAGCAUACGUUGCCUAAGAACAUUAUCUUAUAUGAUCGAACCUCUGUCACCCUCAGGAAACCUAACAUUGAUACACUAUUGUCAUCUAAUACUCCACAGUAAUAAUUUCCCCAUUGUGCCCCAAAUGUCAUUUUCGUUUAUUUUUUUUUCCAAUCCAUAGUCCAGAUUCACAUAUUAACUUUGCUUGUCUCGUUGUUUUAGCAUCUCAGUUGUUUUUCAUGACAGUGACAUUUCUGAAAAGACCCCUUCACUUGCUUCAGCAUCAAGAGACCAAAUGAGCCUGGCCUUCACGGCUUGUGGUUGUUAUUGUCUUCCAGGUGCAAGGUGGGAAGGGACUGAGGAACAGAUCAAGGGGACAGUAGCACUUUUUUUUUUUUUUUAAGAGAGAGAGAGAGAGAGAGAGAGAGAAUUUUAAUAUUUAUUUUUUUGGUGGAC
rnacentral:lncRNA from 1 species